UGGGGAAUUUUGGACAAUGGGCGCAAGCCUGAUCCAGCAAUGCCGCGUGCAGGAUGAAGGCCUUCGGGUUGUAAACUGCUUUUGUACGGAACGAAAAGCCUCUCUCUAAUACAGGGGGGUGAUGACGGUACCGUAGGAAUAAGCACCGGCUAACUACGUGCCAGCAGCCGCGGUAAUACGUAGGGUGCAAGCGUUAAUCGGAAUUACUGGGCGUAAAGCGUGCGCAGGCGGUUUUGUAAGACAGUGGUGAAAUCCCCGGGCUCAACCUGGGAACUGCCAUUGUGACUGCAAGGCUGGAGUGCGGCAGAGGGGGGAUGGAAUUCCGCGUGUAGCAGUGAAAUGCGUAGAUAUGCGGAGGAACACCGAUGGCGAAGGCAAUCCCCCUGGGGCCUGCACUGACGCUCAUGCACGAAAGCGUGGGGAGCAAACAGGAUUAGAUACCCUGGUAGUCCACGCCCUAAACGAUG
rnacentral:rRNA from 1 species